rfam:Schistosoma mattheei strain Denwood, Zambia genome assembly, scaffold: SMTD_scaffold0000288
AUCCAGUUGACGAGUCUCAAACAGUAGGAAACGUGCGUCCUAGAU